GAAAACGGGUUUGGUAAUCAAACCACGUUUAUACUAAAAGACGGGUAAAUUACCUUUAGUGGUAAAAGUAACCCGGCGAAUAUUAGGAUUCUUAAAUAAACAAGAACUUACUAACUAGGAAUUUUAACCUAGUUAGCUAAUAUUCUAGAAGUAACUUAUGAUAGGGUUAAAAACAACCAAAACUAUAUGUCAAACAAAAGAUGAGGGGCCUAAGUUGUAAGAAAUUGAAAUUAUAUUACUAAUUUUAAUAAAAAUCAAAACCAAACACCCAUUAAGGAUGUCUGGUCGUACAGGAAAGGGCAGGGGCGACUCCCCACUCUUCAAAACCCUAGAACUUCACUAAUCUUGCAAAUUGAAGGUCCAAUUCAGUCCAAAAUCGAAAUUUAAGCAUGGAUUAUUAAUCCUCAUCACAAGAGGAUUAAAAGUUUGAUCUCGUCAAGCUAAGUGGGAGCUGGAAAGGAAUGGAUCAAACGGAUCAUGGAUGCGAAGAAUGUUUGCGCGGACGCGACGGUAAAACGGCUUAUGGAAUUUACGUGGCUAUGAAUCAGCAAAUUAUUAAGGCAAGGUAUUAAAACGGGUCAAUACUUUGACCCGCGCCAGGUACGCGUAAAUUUGGUGAAAGAUAUGUGAAUACCUUAAUGUAGAAAAAUGACAUGUGAAAGUAGAGAGUAGGAUUUAAACUUAAAUGAUUAAAUCCUCUCUAACGGGUCAAAAUAAGAACUUGAACGUAAAUGGGUUCUAACUAAGUAAGAAACCCAUGAUUUAUGAUUUAUUUGAUAGGAAAUAUUGAAAUUAUGAUUUUCAUGAGUUUAUAGAGCAAGUAAACAUGUUUGUUUGAUAAAAUCGCGAACGGGUUAAAAUUUGGUAAAAAUGGUAAUAAGCCGAAGACUUAAAAGUCUUAAAUUUUGUUAAUUCGGAUGUUGGAUUUUGACUCCAUAUUAUGAAGGGUCAAAUUACAAUCAUGUAGGAAGAAACGGUGGGUCAAACGGAUAAGCGGUUUGAAAGAUACGAAAGUUUUCGUGCCAAUAAACGGCAAAAUAGGAAAGCUGGAAUGCAGGGGCCACCGUAACUUACGGUGUCACCGUAAGUUACGGUGGAGUUGAAGGCUUUACGGCAGCCCCCUACUGAUUUACGGUAGGGGCAUGUCACACCAGGGGCCACCGUAACUUACGGUGCCACCGUAAGUUACGGUGGAGGCCAGUUGGGAAAUCCAUGUUUUGAGAUCAAGAGUUUAACGUUGGGAAUUCUUUUUCCUUCCAUUAUCAUUACCGGAUUUGUUUAGAUUUAUUUCAAUCCACGUAUGACUAAAGCAUUUCAUGUUUAUGAAAUGUAGGUUCAUUUUGGAUGCCGAGAGACGAUCAAGCUCAUCGAAGAACCGAACACGAUAUAGUUACAUGCUUCCGCACUUUGCCACGUUGUAUAUUUUAAACAACGAAUUCGAUCACGUUUUGUAGAAUAACUUAUGAAUUGUAAAAGUUUUAAUUUACUCGAAAUUUUCUAAGGAUACUUAACCUUAAAUACAUGUUUCUUUUCGUAAAUUAUACGAAAACCUUUAAAAUAAUAACUAGGGUGUUACAAGUUGGUAAUCAGAGCUCAUGGUUAAAGAGUAAAGUGUGUUCGGUUCGAGGCUUGAUCGCAAAUCCGGUAAGUACAUGUAUAUUAAUGUUUUGGUAUGUGUUGAAAUGUUGUGAACAACACAUAGGGUUAUCGUGUGAUACACGUUACCUCAAUUAAAUGAUAAAUAUAGUUGAGAAAAUUGCGUGCGUUGACGCGUAUAGUAGAAAAGCCUUGUAUUAUAAUACGGGCGAUUAUUGAAGUUGAUAUUACUAAUUCUUGUAAAUGUUUUAAUUGAAGGACAGUCGCAUCUGAAGAUAGCGGGAGUUUAACAAAUUGCGGAUAUGAUGAUGGAACGGUCCGAGAUGUGACAAGAAGAGCAUACUCAUCAAGGACCUAAAUCGCGUAACGAUCGCAAAUAAGUAAUGGCAAGGAAUGCCCGUCGGGGCAAGCAUUACCAGGUAUUGUGUUAAGUUUGAUCUCGUCAAGCUAAGUGGGAGCUGGAAAGGAAUGGAUCAAACGGAUCAUGGAUGCGAAGAAUGUUUGCGCGGACGCGAC